UUGUGGGUGGGUGGAGGCACGUUUUCCAGCUCUUCUGUUACCACUCACUUUAAUCACCUCAAGAAAUAAAAACAGUGGUCAUAACAUCUGGUUUAAUUGGCUGUAUUAACAUGCAAAAGGAAAAAGCAAAGCAAGGCCUGCCUUUGCUUGAUUUUCCCGCAAAAGAUUUUCUGAGUUUGCCCAACUCAAUCAAACGUCACUGUCAAAACCAACUCCCUGUCAAGAAGUUGGUCUGGAAAUACGCCUCGUUCCUGUCGCUCGAAAUUGGACCUCAACGGUCAGAUUUGUUCACCAGCUAUUUCCAUCUGACAGCCGAUUCCCGGCGAUUUUCCCCGCUGCCAUGUGAGAAAAUCCUGUGCAGCACUGAUUUAUGAAAAGAGGGUGUUUGAUACUGCAGUCGCCUGAGAUGCUGGGAAAAUACAGAUCUUGUUAAAGAAUCUGCUGUCGCUUGGGACAAGAUUGGUUAAGGAAAUCGAUUUGGAAUAAAGACUUCUAGAGGAUGGCUUUUGUUUGAUUGUGUUUUAAUGGUUUUUGAAGAUGUGAUCAUCAUCGCAAAAAACCAUCCUUCAUUCAUAGGAUUGUAUUGAGCUCAGUCUGCUUUUAACACUGCAUCAAUCCAUGACCAGUGAUAAUCAUAUUGAUAUUAAUGAACCUUAAGUUCUUGACACUUGUACAGUGAGAUUUAUUAUAUAUUAUUUGGACUAGGUUCUUUGGUUAAAUUGAUUA